GCUUUCUACAGGUACCAGCUAACAGGAAACGGAAGCUCAGAGAGGGAACACUGCUUUACACAGGUACGGGGUAACCGGACACGGAAGCUCAGAGAGGGAACACUGCUUUCCACAGGUACGGGGUAACCGGACACGGAAGCUCAGAGAGGGAAAGCUGCUUCCCAUAGGUACCAGCUAGCCGGAAACAGAAGCUCAGAGAGGGAUUCUACAAGUACCAGCUAACCGGAAACGGAAGCUCAGAGAGGGAAAGCUGCUUCUCAUAGGUACCAGCUAGGUGGAGGCAGAAAUUAAUCCAGACCCAUUUUCUGAUUUUCACCAUUAAAAAAUCCGAGAACUAGGAAGCCUCCCUCCAGGCCUGACCUGACCCCAUUUGAUUCUGAGCAGAUGUGGGAGAUUGGCUUCCUAAUCUUCAUUUAGUUUGGCUGAGAGAGCACCUCAUUUGGUCCCCCUGUACCUCUGUUCCUCCCCUAUAAGUGUGGACAGUUGCAGCAGGAUCCAGUCACGUGGGCUGGAACAGGCUUACUCCCUGAUGGUCCCUGGAUUGGCAACUGCUUAUUUCAACUGUGGCAUCCCUGCUCCAGGGAUCAAGGGAGCUGUGUCCAGUGCAGAGGUUCAUUGAUGGUGACUUUGGCGUGAGGAGCGUGAGGUUGGCGGUGACUCGCCUGAGUUCAUCCCAGGAAGCCAUCUCUGUCUCUCACAAAGCCCCGUGUGAGCAGGAGCAGAAACUUGAGAGUGUGUAAGUUGUAAUGUGUCCUACCCCGGAUCCCAUGAUGCAAGGGAAAGGCGAAGCUGAGGAGGUACAGCAAGGUGUCUUCAGUGGACACAGACUGAAGCUGGCUCUAACCACGUGCAUCUGGCGAUGGAAUUGGCAGCUCAAGGGCAGGCUGCCAUAUGCCUUCCAAGGUCCCUCUGGUGUAACAGAACAAGGAUGACUGCAUUGCUCCAGCCCCUGGGAUAAUAACGCACCUGCUCGUUUGCAGUAGAUUGGGCAUGAGAAAGGAGGUGAAUGCCACAGUCAGUUCAGUCCCAGGCUAAUCAUUACAAUUAUCGGAGGCAUACCGCAUUGUGUGGGGACAAAAGUCCCUUCCUCUGGUGUCCCCGAGCUGGCUUUGUGGUG
rnacentral:lncRNA from 1 species